CCUCGGAUCAGGUAGGAAUACCCGCUGAACUUAAGCAUAUCAAUAAGCGGAGGAAAAGAAACCAACAGGGAUUGCCCUAGUAACGGCGAGUGAAGCGGCAACAGCUCAAAUUUGAAAUCUGGCCUUCUGGUCCGAAUUGUAAUUUGUAGAGGAUGACUUUGGUUAGGUACCUUCCGAGUUCCUUGGAACAGGACGCCUUAGAGGGUGAGAGCCCCGUACGGUUGGAUGCCGAUCCUUUGUAAGUCUCCUUCGACGAGUCGAGUAGUUUGGGAAUGCUGCUCUAAAUGGGAGGUAAAUUUCUUCUAAAGCUAAAUACCGGCCAGAGACCGAUAGCGCACAAGUAGAGUGAUCGAAAGAUGAAAAGCACUUUGAAAAGAGGGUUAAAUAGUACGUGAAAUUGUUGAAAGGGAAGGGUUUAUGACCAGACCUUUGCGUUGGGAAUCAUCCGGUGUUCUCACCGGUGCACUUCCCUUCGUUGAGGCCAGCAUCAGUUCUAGUUGGGGGAUAAAGACAUUAGGAAUGUGAUUCCUCCGGGAAUGUUAUAGCCUUUUGUGUAAUACCCUGACCGGGACUGAGGACCGCGCUUCGGCUAGGAUGCUGGCAUAAUGGUCAUCAGCCACCCGUCUUGAAACACGGACCAAGGAGUCGAACAUUUAUGCGAGUGUUUGGGUGUUAAACCCUCACGCGUAAUGAAAGUGAACGGAGGUGAGAGCCCUUACGGGUGCAUCAUCGACCGAUCCUGAUGUCUUCGGAUGGAUUUGAGUAAGAGCAUAACUGUUCGGACCCGAAAGAUGGUGAACUAUGCGUGGAUAGGGUGAAGCCAGAGGAAACUCUGGUGGAGGCUCGCAGCGGUUCUGACGUGCAAAUCGAUCGUCAAAUCUGCGCAUGGGGGCGAAAGACUAAUCGA
rnacentral:rRNA from 1 species